GCUCACUGAUCGAGUCGUCCUGCGCGGAAGAUGUAACGGGGCUAAGCAAUAUACCGAAGCUGCGGAUGCACGUAAGUGCAUGGUAGGAGAGCGUUCUGUAAGCCUGUGAAGGUGUCUUGUAAAGGAUGCUGGAGGUAUCAGAAGUGCGAAUGCUGACAUGAGUAGCGAUAAAGGGGGUGAAAGGCCCCCUCGCCGUAAGCCCAAGGUUUCCUACGCAACGUUCAUCGGCGUAGGGUGAGUCGGCCCCUAAGGCGAGGCAGAGAUGCGUAGCUGAUGGGAAGCAGGUUAAUAUUCCUGCACCGUCGUAUGAUGCGAUGGGGGGACGGAUCGCGGAAGGUUGUCCGGGUGUUGGAUGUCCCGGUCCCUGCAUUGGAGAUGGCACUUAGGCAAAUCCGGGUGCGUGAUUCAAGGGUGUGGGGCGAGCGACUUUAGGUCGCGAAGCAAUUGGAAGUGGUUCCAAGAAAAGCCUCUAAGCUUCAGUC
rnacentral:rRNA from 1 species